UUUAUACCAUUCUUUCAGAUU
rnacentral:piRNA from 1 species